AGUAGAAGAGUGCGCACGAAGCAGAGAAGCAGCGCCACAUAGCCUCAGAAGCACAGUGUUAGACAGACAGAAAAGUGUAUCGCACGGCGCACAGCGCACAGCAUAAACUCGUAUCGAAUCCAAUCGUCUCUGAACGGCAGCAACGAGCUCCUGCUAGCAAGCCAAUAAAACACAAACUAAUUGAAAGCGUGUGAAGUAAUCGCAAAUUGAAUUUUUAAAAUAGUAAAAAAAGAACAAUCAGCUUUACUGGCGAAACUGAUUAGUAGUAUAUAAAAUAAGUAAGACAAAAAAAAAAUACGAAAAAAAUUGUUUGGUGUUUAAGAAGCGGCACGAAGCAGGAUAGCUGUAAAACGCAUCUAAAGCCGUCUUGUUUUCUAUUCAAUUGACAUGGUGUUCUGUUCCUGCUGCCUAUAGCGGUAAAGAGUUUGCAAAGCCGAAAACAGUGAAGCCUUUAAGGCAGCUCAAGCAAAAUUUUUUUUCUUUCGAUUGGUGUAUAUGCAACGUGAGGUGAAGUAAGCCACAAAAGCCGGAGGACAACACGCAGUGAAAAAAAUUUACGGUUUUUUCCGUUUGUUUUCUUCCAUCUUUCCGCAUCUAUCUAGCUGCUGUCCUCUUCUCUGAUAGUUUUCACUGAACUUGACAGACUCACUAAAGCUAUCUCUAGCUCUUGACGCGUUUAAAAAAGACAACUGUGCUUCAACCACAACAACAACAACAAAAGCAUUAACUAUACUAACUUCAACUAAAGCAAGAACUUUUACAACACAGCUGAGUUACUCGAACUUUGCUGUGUCUUUGCUCGUAAACUUUGCAGUUAAAACAAAGAAUUCAUCGAAAACAGCACUUCUCAUCGUGUGAACGCAACGAGCAUCUUCCGUGAGAAUAUUGUUUCGAAAUAUCCACCAAUUAAGCAUCAGCAACAACAACUACAAUAUUAGAGGCAACAACAAAGUAGUAGUACACCAUUGGAAGUAGUCAAAGUGUAGCAAUUUUUAGUUCAAUAAAUUGAGACAGUAACAAUAACAGGCGUCUAUUAGGAACUACCAGAGGUAUUUACGUAAGAAGCAAAAGUUAAAAGGAAGCAAAAUGGCAGCAUUCAUAGCGAAACAAAUGGUUGGCAACCAGCUAAGCGCCGUUAAAGAUGCUGCCGGCGGUGGUGAUGGCGGUGAUGAUGGUGACGAUAAGGAAAAGGCAGAGGAGGAGGAGAGAGAGCGUCAGGAGGCCAUACGUGAGGCCGAAGAACGGCGAAAGGAGAAGCAUCGUAAGAUGGAAGAGGAGCGCGAAAAGAUGAGACAAGAUAUUCGUGAUAAGUACAACAUAAAGAAAAAGGAGGAAGUUGUCGAAGCCGCGCCCCAAGAAGAACCCAAUCCGCUGAUGCGAAAGAAAAAGACGCCCGAAGAGUUGGCUGCCGAAGCGGAGCAGGAAGAGUUAGACGAUUUCACAAAACUGAAAAAUCAAAUAGAAACGCAAGUAAAUGAGCUAAAAACUCAAAUAGAGGGAAAAUGUGUCAUGCAGUGAUAUGUCAUCAUAUGAUUAUGAAUACCAAAUUAUACCUACAUAUAUAAACAAAACAAAUACAACAACAACAAAAUAACACAAAUAAAUGAAGCAAACAAAUGCGUACGCAAGAAAUAUAUAACAAAGCAUAACAUAUAUAUAAACAAAUAUAUAUACUUAUAUAUAUAUAUAUAUGAAAUUGAAAACAUAAUUAAUAACGGUAAAAAUGCUAUAAUAUAACAAAAAUACUCAAUAUAUAACAAAAUUACAACAACAAAAAAUACUAACAACAAAUUUUCCCCACUUCCCAAACAAACUUAUAUAAUAUAUACAUAACAUAAAUAAAUAUAUAUAUAUAAACCAUAUAUAUAUAUACUCAAACAACAACUGCACCAAAAGGAGGCAGCAGUAACCAAAAUAAAAACCGACAACCAUAACAAAGCAAACAAGCAAAACCAAAACCAAAACACCCAAGGACAUACAACCAAAACGCUGAAAGCAAAUGGCGCAUAUACUAGCGUAUAAAUAUAUACACAUAUAACAUAUAGCAAAUAAAUAAUUACGUACUUAUAUACAACUAAAAGCAAGUAUAUAUAUAAAUGAAAGGAGUAAAUGAUUAAUUGUUUAAAAAGUCAUUAAAUAAAUUAGUAAAUUACCAAAAAAUAUUAUUUCAACCAAACAAUUAACACUACAUUUACGCAGGAUUAUAUAUACAAAUAGCAGAUAACAGUAAAAAUGCGAAUAAAUUAAUAAUUUCAAAUACGGAAAAGAUCACUUACAAAAAACACAAACAAAUAUAUAAAAAAAUAAUAAAAUUAAACAUAUUUGCGCAUUGUACAGACAUACUUGCCACAAAUAUGCGUAAAUGCAGCGAAACAAACAGACACAAAGCAAAUAAAAUGAACCACACAAUGAGCUAACGAGGAAAUGUUGAUAAAACACACACCGAAUAAGCCACAAAAAUUCAAAAAAUACAUAAAACCCGUUAAAUAAGUGAACAAGCAACGCUGUAACGCCAGAUGCGCGCCACUAAGCAGAUUAAAAAAACAAUGCAAGCAAAAAAAUUAAAUAAUAUUAUAAAAUAAAAACAAAAAACACACAGCGCACGCAAUGCAAAAUCCAAACAACAACACUGUCAACGAAUGCUACAUACGCUAUUCCACUAACAACAACAAAAGCAGUGCUGCCUAAAAAACACAACAAACAAUAAAUACGCAACAAAAAUGUGGACAACGAGCGCAGAUGACAGAGAGGGAGACGCACACUUAAGAAAGAAUGAAGAACACUACGCGGUAACGCACGCGAGCGUUACAAAAGUUAUGUUCACCAAACGCUCGCGAAAACCGAAAGGAAAGGCUGCUGCCGAGUAGCAAAGCAGUAGCGCAUGACCAAAAAAAUCUUAGUAGGAAUAGCGUAACAGUUUGAAAAUUGCAAAAAUAAAGCAGAGAUGAAGUAAUAAAUGAAGUAUGAGAGAGAAAGAGAGAGAGAGAGAGAGAGAAAGAAAACCUAAAACGAAAAUGCCUUCAAAAUUUAAAUAAAAUUUAAAAUACAAAAAAAACAAAAAAAUAAUAAAGCAACUAUCAUUUAAUAUAACGAGUACGCAAUUUUUGGCAUGCAUAACAACAAAUAUCUAAUACAAUAACAAAUGAGACAUAACAAAUUGUAUAAAGCACAGUAAGCGCAUUGUUAGUAGCGAAUUCUCAAAACAAAACAACAUAAAAAAUUCUAUUUCACUCUGCUCUAACAGAGCCUGCAAGCCACAAGCGAAAUCUAUGCAAACGCAACACACUUGAAAAUGUCCAAAGAAACACGCGAACUAUUCGAAAUGCUCGUAAAAGUCGUAACUAACCUUAAAUAUUCCAAAAUUGCAACGUAGUUGGCUCGCUUACUUGCAUAAUACCACCCACACAAGUACUUGUACUCGCAAAAGACAGCGUUGCUGCGCUGAAAGCAGUCGACUAUAUACAGUAGUCUUAUGUAGUUAAGCCAAAACUGUACGAAAUUGCAUUUUUGAAUUGUUCGAAAUUGGUGAUUUGUUAUUGAUAUUGGCAAAUUGUUAUUUACAAAACAAAAAAAAAAAACAAAAAACAAUCUAUGAAACACAAAUUUCAGCAAACAACUGGCUAAUCUGUACAAUUUCUUUCUUUUACUAAACUCCCUCAAAAUAAAUAACAUACACACAAUGAGCCCUAACCUCUGAGAUUACACUGAAACGAAGAAACUGCAAAUUCUAUAUAUUUGAAAACAUACAAUAAAAAAACGUUGCAUAAAUAAAACAAGCUCGAUUGUGAGGCUUAUUGCAAUUGAAGCUGAAAUUAUGUACAUAUGUAUGUGUGUUAAGAGAUAAGCCAAACAAAUGUAAACGACAACAAAUCACAAAUAUUAUGACAUGCCCGUGCACAACAACAGCAACAACCACUAGAGUUACAACCACAAAAUGGCUUGAACCAAUUGCCACCACUUUACUACUCAACACUUCGAUACUCUAUGCGGAAUGGUGCAUACGCAACCGGAAGCACACUCACACAAGGAUUGCCACACAAGCGUCAUAUAGUCGUACAUAAUGCAAUGCUAUAUAAUUAGUAUAAAAUUUACAUGUAUAAGUCUAUCUGCGCCUUUUCUCAAUGUUAUCCAGAGUAUACAUUUGAUGGUGUUUUUUUGGUUGUAGGCCAUGGUGCUUUUCAUGCUUAUUAUAUGUGAUUAGUCGCGAUUUUUAUGAGGUCACGUGGCUUACAUAUGUGUAAAAGCUUGAGUUUAUAAAUUAAUCCAUUGAAGAAUAGGGAGAAUUUUGAGAUGUUGUGUAGCUUAGUGAGAGAAAUAUGCAGGAAAGCAAAUUUGUACCAAAAUUCGAUCGAAAUUCAUCGCAAAGAUGAAUAUACAAAUUAUCUGCUGGAAAUGAUGGCCACACAGUCCAUAUAAAAAUAUAUGCGUUACGAGCCUUUCAAAAUCCAUAGUGCAAUAAACACAAGAAAAUGCAUCUAAUUGCUGAAAUUCACAGCUUCUCGAACAAAAGUUGUAUAAAAUAUAUUAGCUCCUAUUCAAAGAAAAGCUUUACAUAGGAAGUAUCUCAUAGAACGUUGAUUUUGAAAACCAAAUUCUACUUAUACAUCUUGUCUUCAUUUUUCACACUCUUGCUCUAACUAUUUCUCUCUCUCUCUCGCUCUUCUGUAAGCAAAUUUCAUUUAGGUUCUUGUAUUUGCUAUACAAAAAAUGGGUUAGGAACUAGGCUUGUGUGUAGUAUUAAAGACGUUGCUAGUUGCAGGAAUAAAAAUAUCAAAUAUUUAACUAACAACAAAAGAUGUGGCAACUUGUAUCCACAUAAUUUGCUAUGUACACAAACAGUUGUGUUAGCUUAUAUAGGACAAAUUUGUUAUUUGUUUUUUAAAAAUACUGAAAAUACAUAAUUGUUAAGCGCUUUUCUUGUUGAUUUUAGUUAAAUGUUAUUUAAUUUUAGUAAGAAAAAAUAUAUUAUGUUACAUAUUAGUUAAUGAAAGGUUAUUAAUUAAUUUUAAAUCAGGUUGGAUUAAGUUAUCAACUAGCAAAAUCUGAUACAUAUGAAAGCUGCUCUUAAAAAAAAACUUUACUAAUGAAAAGUCAGCAACAAUAACAAAAAAGUCACAAAAACUGGUAAUACGACACAUAUACAAAACAAUAGCAGACAAAAGGGCAGGCGGUCGCAAAAUUAACAAAUCUUUUUUUAUUCAAAAAAAAUUGUUCUUUUUUAAUUUAUUUUUUUUUUAUGUUAACUUUUUUUAUUUUUUUUUGUUAUUUUUAUUUUCUUGAACAAACUUUUAUGCAAAAAAUCCAGUUAAUUUAUUCAUUCAUUUUCCCUCUAUAUCUAUUUCACUUGUUUAAAUCGUGAAAUACAAUUAUUUUAUAUAAAUUUUUUUAUUUUUUUUUAGUAUUAUUUUUUUAUAUUAUUUUUUUAUGUUAUUUUUUUUAUUAUUUUUUUUAUACAUUUUAUUAUAUACAUAUUUUUUUAUUAUGUACUUUGAUUUUUUACUGCAACGCUCUUGCUGCCUUUGCCUCUUAAAAAUCUAAAAAUGAGCUCUGCAUGUAUGUUUGUUAUAAAAAAAAAGAAAAAAUAAUAAUAAAAAAUCUAGCAUAUGUAUUUAUUGUAUGUACUGUAUAAAAAAAUAUUUCUUUAGCGCAAUGUUUAGAAUUGUUGUUUAUGGCUUUGUGAUGUAUUAUAGUAUGAUACUUAUGAACAAAAAUAAGAAACAAAACUAAAUAACGCUCUCGCUUAAACUAAAGAGUCAACGAAAUCGAAGGAGCCAAACAAAAGUUUCAGAAAUCAGUAAAAAAAAAAUGUUGUCUCUAUUAAAUACACUAGUUUUGUUAAAAACUUCCUGCUAACAACAACCAAAUAUAAAAAUAUACCGCAGUAUGCGUAUUAUUACAUAUGACAAACUCCGAGAAAGCUACAGACAAUUUUUAAAAAACUAUGCAAAACUCCUUAAAACAUAAUUUAUACCUUCAAAUGAAGUUAUCUAACAUAUUUUCCUGUAUACACAUCCAAAUAAACAAAAUACUGUAUAAUUUUUUGGAAAACCAUCAAACCUUUACGACUCUCAAGCAGUCUGUUGCUACAAAUAUUCGAAUAAACUAUAACUACCCACAUCUCUUAGCACAAUAGUUACUUAGAGCGCAAAACAAAACUACUAAAAAGUCUUAAAUACCCUCAAGAAUAAUAUGUUUUGGUGAAUAUUCUAAUAUGAAAAUUACAAAAAUCUGAUUUUUUUCUUUUUUUAGUAAAAAAUUUAAAACCUUCUAUUUAAUAAUGACUCCUAAACUACUAAAGCUUUACAUACUUGAAACAACCUUCGAACCCUUAACUUUCAUACUAGAAAUUAUUUAUAUAAUAUAGAAGCUGAUAUUAAAAAAAUAUAUAUGCAAAAUAAUGAGGAAAAU